rnacentral:rRNA from 1 species
CUAAGUAAUCCUUAGAAACUUUUAUGCUUGACAUAAAAGAGCAGACCCAGGGAAGUAAAACAUUUCAGUACCUGGAGGAAAAGAGAAAAAUAUUUAUUUUCUGAGUAGCGGCGAGCGAAAAGGAAAGAGCCCAAACCGUGUGCAUCACAUUGCAUGUGAUACAAUUACGAAUUAAUAAUUACGAAUUACGAAUUUAAUGCAUUUUUGCAUUCCAUUCGUAAUUCGUAAUUCGUAAUUUUUAAUUGUCAUCGCGCGUAGCGUGAUGUACAUGGGGUUGUAAGGUGACAAUGUAGAUUUAUCUAGAGAAGUUACAAAAUGUGUUAUUAGAUUAAACUUCUGGAAAGAAGUGCCAUAGACGGUGAUAGCCCGGUGAUCGAAAAUUCCACAUCUUCUUGGUUGUCAUUCUUGAGUAACUCAAGACACGAAUAGCUUGAGUGAAUCCACCAGAACUAACUGGUAAGGCUAAAUACUUUUUUAGAUCGAUAGUGAACUAGUACCGUGAGGGAAAGGUGAAAAGAACCCCGAUGAGGGGAGUGAAAUAGACCUGAAACCAUAUACUUACAAGGAGUCGGAGCGGUCAUCACACAGUGUGUGAUGUAAUUACGAAUUAAUAAUUACGAAUUACGAAUGGAAUGCAAAAAUGCAUUAAAUUCGUAAUUCGUAAUUCGUAAUUUUUAAUUGGCAUCGUGCUUUGCGCGAUGACCGUCACGGCGUGCCUAUUGAAGAAUGAGCCAACGAGUUUAUCUAUGCUGCAGGCUAAGUUGUUAGAACAACGGAGCCUUAGGGAAACCGAGUGUUAAUAGCGCGAAAUAUAUGUAGUCUAGAUAAGACCCGAAGCCAGGUGAGCUUGCCAUGAGCAGGUUGAAGUUUGUCGAAAGACAGAUGGAGGACCGAACCGGUGACCCGUGCAAUAGUCUCGGAUGACUUGUGGUAAGGAGUGAAAAGCUAAUCGAACCUGGUAAUAGCUGGUUCUCUCCGAAAUAGCUUUAGGGCUAGCGUUGCGUGUUCCUCUUGGGGGUAGAGCACUGGAAGGUUUCGACAGGGAGCAAUCUCGCGAAUUCUAUCAAACUCCGAAUACCAAGAGUUAAAAGCGCAGCAGUUAGGCUAUGGGGGCGAAGCUCCAUCAGCCAAAAGGGAAACAGCCCAGAUCUCUAAUUAAGGUCCCAAAAUUUAUGUUGAGUGCAAAACAAGGAGGUGAAAUUUCUCUGACAAUGAGGAUGUUGGCUUAGAAGCAGCCAUCAUUUAAAGAAAGCGUAACAGCUCACUCAUCCAGAGAUUUCGCACCGAAAAUAAUCGGGGCUAAACAUAAUACCGAAAUUGAGGGCUUGAGUGCAUCACAUUGCAUGUGAUGCAAUUAAUAAUUACGAAUUAAGAAUUAAGAAUUGGAUGCAUUUUGUAUUUCAUUAUUAAUUAUUAAUUAUUAAUUCUUAAUUGCACAUCGCAUAUAGUGUGAUGUGCUUGAGCGGUAGGAGAGUAUUCCACUCAGCGUCGAAGCCAAAGAGGUGACUCAUGGUGGAGCGUGUGGAAGUAAGAAUGUUGGCACAAGUAACCGCAAGGAAGGUGAGAUCCCUUCCCGCCGAAAGAUCAAGGUUUCCUGGGCAAUGGUAAUCAUCCCAGGGUUAGUCGGUCCUAAGGAGAUGGCGAUAGCCGCAUCCGAUGGGCAUAGGGUUAAUAUUCCCUAACUUCUGUUAUAUUCGAUGAUAGGACGGAGUGUAGUAUAUAAGGCUCAUUAUUGGAUUUGAGUUUGUUAGUAAGGGUGCUUCCUAGGAAAAUCCGGGAAGUGACGUCAAAGUAACACCUAAGCGAAACAUAAAUGUAAGGUUUCGAUCUUGCAGAUUUUAUAAAGCACACUUCCAAGAAAAGUAUCUAAGGUUAAUAUAAUAGAAUCCGUACCGCAAACCGACACAGGUGAUCAGGUCGAGUAGACCAAGGCGAACGAGUGAGAGGUCUUCAAGGAACUCGGCAAAAAAGCAGCCGUAACUUUGGAAUAAGGCUUGCCAUUUUUAAUUUAUUAAAAAUGGCCGCAGCGAAAGUAUCUCUGGCAACUGUUUAUCAAAAACACAGCUCCCUGCGAACACGUAAGUGGAUGUAUAGGGGGUGAUGCCUGACCAAUGCCAGAAGGUCAAAUAUCGGUGGUCUAUGUCGCAAGAUGUAGGCUGGCUGAUAUAAGCCCUGGUGAAUGUCGGCCGUAACUAUAACGGUCCUAAGGUAGCGAAGUACCUUGUCGGGUAAGUUCCGACGCGCACGAAUGGCAUAAUGACUGGAGAGCUGUCUCGAAGACCUGCUCGGUGAAAAUACAAUACCGGUGAAGAUGCCGGUUACCUGCAGAUAGACGAAAAGACCCUAGAAGCUUUACUGCAGCUUGAUAUUGAGUAUAUGGUUAUACUGCGUAGCAUAGAUGGGAGAGGUUUGAAGUGUACGAUUUCGGUUGUGCUCUACUCGACAGUGAAAUACCAUUCUUUGUGACGAUAUAUUCUAAUCUUAACGGCAAAAACGGUAAGAGACAGUAUCUGGUGGGUAGUUUUACUGGGGCGGUAUCCUCCUAAAGAGUAACGGAGGAGUUUAUUAAGGUUAGCUAGGCGCGAAUGGAAACCGUGCCGAUAGUGUAAUGGCACAAGCUAGCUUAACUGUAAGACGUACAUGUCGAGCAGAUACGAAAGUAGAACAUAGUGAACCGACAUUUCGCAUUAGAUGCGGAUGAAGAUUAACGGAUAAAAGCUACUCUAGGGAUAACAGGCUAGUUCCGCCUAAGAGUUCAUAU